GGUGAACGCUGGCGGCGUGCCUAAUACAUGCAAGUCGAGCGAACGGACGAGAAGCUUGCUUCUCUGAUGUUAGCGGCGGACGGGUGAGUAACACGUGGAUAACCAACUUAUAAUACUGGGAUAACUUCGGGAAACCGGAGAUAAUACCGGCUAAUAUUUUGUACCGCAGGGAUCAAAAGUACAUGACGGUUUUGCUGUCACAUUUGGAUGGAUCCGCGCUGCCUUAGCUAGUUGGUAAGGUAACGGCCUACCAAGGCGACGUUGCAUAGCCGACCUGAGAGGGUGAUCGGCCACACUGGAACUGAGACACGGUCCAGACUCCUACGGGAGGCAGCAGUGGGGAAUCUUCGGCAAUGGGCGAAAGCCUGACGGAGCCACGCCGCGUGAGUGAAGAAGGUCUUCGGAUCGUAAAGCCCUUUUAUUAGGGAAGAACAUAUGUGUAAGAAACUGUGCACAUCUUGACGGUACCUAAUCAGAAAGCCACGGCUAACUACGUG
rnacentral:rRNA from 1 species